rnacentral:rRNA from 1 species
CCGACCGGCGCACGGGUGAGCAACACGUAUGCAACCUGGCCGCCACAGGGGGAUAACCCGCGGAAACGCGGCCUAAUACCCCGUGACGCCACCGGAGGGCAUCCUCCGGUGGCCAAAGGAGCGAUCCGGUGGCGAUGGGCAUGCGGCGCAUUAGCUAGACGGCGGGGUGACGGCCCACCGUGGCGACGAUGCGUAGGGGUUCUGAGAGGAAGGCCCCCCACACUGGGACUGAGACACGGCCUAGACUCCUACGGAAGGCAGCAG